rnacentral:tRNA from 1 species
GCCAUCCUAGCUCAAUGGUAGAGCAACUGUUUUGUAAACAGUAGGUUGCCAGUUCGAGUCUGGCGGAUGGCU